rnacentral:rRNA from 1 species
UGAGGAAUAUUGGGCAAUGCCCGCAAGGGUGACCCAGCAACGCCGCGUGGAGGAUGAAUGUCGUAAGAUUGUAAACUCCUGUUAGAGGGGAAGAAUAGUACCGGUUGGACCGGUAUAUGACUGUACCCUCAGAGAAAGCCCCGGCUAACUACGUGCCAGCAGCCGCGGUAAUACGUAGGGGGCAAGCGUUGUCCGGAUUUGCUGGGUGUAAAGGGCGCGCAGGCGGGAUAAAAAGUCAGUGGUGAAAUCCUACAGCUUAACUGUAGAACUGCCUUUGAUACUUUUAUUCUUGAGUUCGGGAGAGAGAGACGGAAUUCCAGGUGUAGUGGUGAAAUACGUAGAUAUCUGGAAGAACACCAGUUGCGAAGGCGGUCUCUUGGUCCGACACUGACGCUGAAGCGCGGAAGCGUGGGGAGCAAACA